AUGGAUGGAUUGAGGGAAAGAUCAUGGUACCAGAUCUGCAGGCAGCUGGAGACAGAAGUCUUCACUUGCAUGGUGAGCUGUAAACUCAGCCUUGAACAAAAGAGAACGAAAAGGAAGGUCUUAGGAAGGAGGCCUUGGUCAGAACGCCAAGUUUCCAGGGAGAAGACUGUCCCACAGCCAGUCACCUGGGGCCUUGUUUCCAGAAGUGGAGUCCUGGAGUCAGCGCAUCUGCGAGCAGUGGGCGUCACAUCGUAUAACGUUAUGGUCAGUGUGGCCUAGAAGUGAGCUCCAGCACCCUGCCACCCUCCCAACACAGGACACUACACAUGUAACCAGAAAAUAAAAACAAGAAUGGCUCCUGUUUCUAGAUUAUCUAAAAGGAGGGAAUCUCUUAUUUCUAGAUUUAAAUUUAAACUUUUUUUUUUUUUUUUAGAGACAGGGUCUCGUUUUGUUACCCAAGCUGGAGUACAGUGACACCAUCAUAACUCACUGCAACCUUGAACUCCUGGGCUCAGGUGAUUCUCUCACCUCAGCCUCCCUAAUAGGACUGCAAGCACACGCCACCACACCUGGCUCAUUUUUAAACUUUUUUAUGGAGACAGGUUCUCCCUAUGUUGCCCAGGCUGGUCUUGAACUCCUGAACUCAAGUGAUCCUCCCACCUUGGCCUCCCAAAGCACUGGGAUUAUAGGCAUGAGCCACUGUCUAAAGGAGAGAAACCUUUGCAAUGUGAAUAGACUUCUCUAAAAGCACACUUGGCUUCCUCCCUCAAACUUACUUGAUUCUGAUGCUUUUUCCCACUCCAUAAACUCUUUUACAAAGUUGAAUUUACAUGUAUCAUUAAGAUACAUAAUUUCCACUGUUACAUCCUUCUUAGAGGUCACUUCCCCUUACCUACUGCUUGAUAUGACUUUUUUUGAGGGAGUGUGAUUAAGGACAUCACGGGACUAGACUGAGCUUUUUGAAAGCAGGGGCCGUUUCUCAGUCAUCUUGGGUAUCUACAGCACUUGUUGUGAGUGAAUGAAUGAAUGAGGAUGGAAUGAGUGAUGCCUGCUCUGCUUUCACAUGGCCAUAAAGCAGGCAUCCAGGUACCCAUUCCCAGGAGGAGGUGAGGUCCACAGUCUCCACCCCCCAAGCCCCCAUCCCUUCCUGGACCCUGGUGGGAGCCCAAGUGUAAAGCAGCCCAGACCAGAGAAGGGGUUACAGCUGGACAGCCCCCAAAACACAGGAGGGCAGAUUGCUCGAGCAUCCCAGUCUGAGAACAGUGGGGGCAACAUGCCAGAAUGGAGGUGAAGGGAACGGAGGGGCAGGGGCGUGAGCUCACCUCCACCCUGUGGCCAAGGAACGGGCACAGGUAAGAAGGGAAGGAAAUGUCCUGGACUCGGCAGGAGAUCGCAGACCUGUGAGGGAAAGUGAGGAAGAGCUUGCAAUGUUGGGAGGAGAGGCAGGAAAAAAGUUUCCUUUCCUCAGAGGAAAAGGAAGGAGAGCCCAGUUUUAAAAACAAAACCCUCACCUGCACCCUCCAUAACCAAAGAUCCCGACACUGAUUCUCGACAGCUGAGAGUGAGCUGGGCCACAGAGGGGUUCAUCCACCCCCCAACUGCAGACAGCAAGCUGUGGGAGGAGCAGGUUUAUGGGCCUUGAAACCCUCUGAGAUGGGAGAGAUAAUAUCCAUAAAAUCCAGGAUUGCUAGAGAGCCACAGACUUGCUCUCCAAAAGGCUGAAAAUAGAAAGGAGGAAGUGAAAUUAAUAGAGCUGGGAAUGAGAAAGAAACAAGGCCAUGUGUGCGUAUCUUUAAAGCUAGAAAAUAACAACCACAUCUUCUGAACACAUUACAUUCCCGGUGCCGAACUAAGCAAUUUGCACUUAUUUAAUCCUCAUAUAACAAUCUAAGGAGACGGAUAUUACAAUCUUGUUUUAUUGGUGAGGAAAUUCUCUCAGAGAAGUUGUUACCACACCUGUAAUCCCAGCACUUUGGGAGGCCGAGGCGGGCGGAUUACCUGAGGUCGGCAGUUUGAGACCAGCCUGACCAACAUGGAGAAACCCCGUCUCUACUAAAAAUACAAAAAUUAGCCAUACGUGGUGGCGCAUGCCUGUAAUCCCAGCUACUCAGGAGGCUGAGGCAGGAGAAUCACUUGAACCCGGGAGGCGGAGGUUGUGGUGAGCCGAGGUCACGCGCCCUUGCACUCCAGCCUGGGCAACAAGAGCGAAACUCUGUCUCAAAAAAAAAAAAAAAAAGAAGUUAAGUUACUUGCCUGAAGCCACAUAACUGAGCCCAGUUCCAGCUGACUCAAAAGGGUACAAAUUUAGUCACUAUGUCAGUUAUUUUCAAACUUUGUUUCUUUGUUUGUUUGUUUUUGAGACAAAUUUUGCUCCUGUUGCCCAGGCUGGAGUGCAAUGGUGCAAUCUCGGCUCACUGCAACCUCCACCUCCGGGGUUCAGGUGAUUCUCCUGCUUAGACCUCCUAAGUAGCUGGGAUUACAGGCAUGUGCCACCACACCUGGCUAAUUUUUUGUACUUAGUAGAGACGGGGUUUCACCAUGUUGGUCAGGCUGGUCUUGAACUCCUGACCUCAGGUAAUCCACCUGCCUUGGGCCUCCCAAAGUGCUGGGAUUACAGGCGUGAGCCACCGUGCCUGGCCUGCUUUCAAACUUUUUUGACUAGGACCCACAGUAAGAAAUAUAUUUUAGACCGGGCCCAGUGAGCCAAGAUUGUGCCACUGCACUCCAGCCAUGGUGACAGAGUGAGACUCUGUCUCAAAAAAAAAAAAAAAAAUAGAAGAAAAAGAAAGAUAUUUUAGAUUCUAAGCCAGCACACAUACAUAUAAUUGAAACCAAAAUGAAAAUUUUAUAAAAUGCAUGUACCCUUACUACUUAUUAAAAGAAGAACUUUAGUCAAUAAAAUUUAGCAGAGUUUAUUUGAGCAAAUAAUGAUUCAUGUUAGGUAUGGUAAGUAAUGCCUGCAAUCCAGCACUUUGGGAGGCUGAGGUGGGAGGAUCACCUGAACCCAGGAGUUUGAGACCAGUCUGGGCAAUAUAGUAAAACCCUGUUUCUAAAAGAAAAAAAAAAAAAAAAGAGAGAGAGAGAUAAUCCAUGAAAGAGUG
rnacentral:lncRNA from 1 species